UGAGCAUUGCUUUUGCUGCUUCCCAUAAGUUCUGAUAUGUUUUGUUUUUGUUUUUGUUUUCAUUUGUCUCAAGGUAUUUUCAGUGUCAGGCCUUGUCAGGCACUUUUUUUCUGUCAGUUUUGUUUUUUUGCUUGGGCCAUACCUUGCAUUUUCUUUUCAUGCCUUGUGACUUUUUUUUUAAUUGAAAAAUGGACACUUAAAUUUGAUGUUUAUAAUAUUUUAUCUCUAGAAAUCAGAUUCUCCCCCUUCCCUGGUUUUUUAAUUGUUGAAGGCAGUGGUAUUUCUGAUAUGUAGUAACUUUUUGCAAAUAUUGUUGUAGGAAUCAUAUUCCUUGUUGUGGAUAGUCACUGAAGUCUCUAUUUCUCGGCUUGUGUUCAGUCAGUGAUUUCAUAGAGAGUGCCUUGUAUGCCAGAAGCUAGAAAACAAAUAAACCUCUCUGAUUCUUUGCAGAUUGUGUGCUGGUGCCUGUUUUCCUAAGAUAGUCAGACUUGGAACUAAUUUAGCAUUCAGCGUGUGGUGAAAGCUUAGGAUUUUCUCUGAGCAUGCGUCCUAUCCUGGGCAUAGCUGCACCUUUCUAAAUUUCCUUAGAUACUAGUGCUUUUGACUGCCCUAAUUUCCCAAAGAAACUCUCUUCUUGACUUUUCCUCCUAGAUCUUGGGUAGUGUAUGUUUCAACUAUAAUCCUUUACUUCAGGUAUCUGCAGAUUGUUCCUGCACCUUAGAUGUUUUGGGCAGUGCCCACCACUUCUCCAGCCUGGAUGAGUUUGAAUUAAGUGAGACAGAAACCGUAUCUUGCCCGUCCUUCAGAUGAUCCCGAGAUAGGUUAUAACACAGUUAAACAAUAAUUCACAAGUCAGGUCUGGUCUGCUUUUUCUAGAACCAGGAGCCCAGGUCCCAUUUUGGGAACAUAGGCUGCUGCCACACCAGAGAUGGGGUAGGGCAAGGACAAAUGAAAAUGCCACAAAUGUUUCCUACCAUUUUAAGUUGACUUUUCCUUGAUCCAGUAUUCAGUUGGUUGCUGUGUUUUCCAGAGUUCUGAUGAAGUUGGUUCUGACAGUUGGUGUUAUGGUACCGUAGGGGGCUGUGGGUGGGAACAUGGAGCCACUUACUCCGCCAUGUUGCGGACUUCACCCUCACCCUGUCAGACCUAGAUAUCUUCUGGUAGUCCAAUUUCAAUGCCCACAGAAAGCAUUUUAUUCUACUACAUCUACAAAUUCUGCAGAUAAGAGGACUUUGACCUAGAAGCUAACCUAUCACAUUCAUUCUGAAGACUGAGUUGAGCCCAAAAAUGGAAAAACAGUUGGUAAUAAAUUGCUUACAUGAUGUGAACCUGAGGCUGCCGUGACCCUACACUGCACACCAUUUUCCCAGUUGUCUCUUACUGUCUGGAUGUCAACUCAAAAACAUAGUUUGGUUAAAAUUCUCCAUUAAGGCAUAGGAGUUAGUAGAUCUGUGCUUCUCUACUUAAAAUAGUUAUUGUCAAGGGAAAGAGUAGAUGAUUUAGUACUGUCCUGUUGUGUCGGGAUUUUUUUGGAUUGAAGGUGUAUCUUAAGCCUGUUGGUACCUCUAGUUCUUUGCUGUCCUUACAUAUCAUCUCCUUUGAACCUUAGAUUAUGGAGGUGAGAGGAAGUGGGAUUACCUUUGUUUUAUGUAUCAGUAAACAAAACUUCAGUAACAUCAUUUCUUAAGUAAGUGAUGGUGUUCUAGGAGCCAGGUCUCAGGUGUCUAAGGCUAAUGUUCUUUCUGAUUUUUCACAUCUGACAAGUGGAUUUUGAGAAAUAGUUGAUUAUGUGGUGAGAGAAGAACAGUGUCGUUAGAAAUUAGUGGAUAGAAAAGGGGGAUGCUAAGAAUCAAAGACCCUCACUAUUAUGGCAUAUAUGUUUGUGUGUAUGUGUGUGUGUUUAUUUCUUUAUUAUAGUUAGGCCAUAUUCAUUGUAGUUUAAUGCUUGGUUCUUUUGAAAGGAAUGAAAUUGGAAAUAGGAUUAUCUGUUAAAACAGUGACUUAAUACAAGAACCUCUUGAAUUUUCAUUUCAGUUUUAUUUUAUUUUUUUACUUUCCUCCUUUCAGACCUUUCAUUUUCCCAUAGGAACCCAUAGGGAAGAAGACUUAGAAUAACAUAAACGUAGGGGCAGUAAAACCAAGGGGAAAAGGCUAACAACAGUUCUGAGCAAGUGCUGGGAAAAGAGCUUGAACACCAGGGGAGGAGAAAAGGGAAAAGUCUAGUGCCUGCAGUAAUUGACCUCAUUCUAGCAUGGCUGUGAUGACACACAAUUGCAGAGUUUGAUACUGUAAAGGAUCAGAGAACUGUUGGCUCUGCUUGAGGCACUUUCAAACCUUACUACUCUACCUGAAUUGAAGCUGAAGCCUGCAGGUGGAUUGGCUACUGGCCAUGAACAGGCUGACUCCAUAGGAAAGUAAGUAGGAAGCAGUGCUGGCCCGGUCACGUUCAUUCUUCCUCGUUCUAGACAGGGGUCUUCGUCAUAUAGAAAGGGAGAGAACUAGGGUAAAACUAAGAUGAGAGUGACUCUUCCAGAAACUUACCUCCACGUUCCCAUUUUGAAGCAUAUGUCUACAACUUACCAGGAUGACUGGGUUGAGGAAUGGUUGUCUUUUUAAUGUCUGUUUAUCUUUUUUUUUUUUUUUUCAUAUUAAUUUUUCAAUGAGGGCUGGGCCAGUGACAACAGAGAAGGUUUAGAACAAAGUAAAAUUUAAACCCUUCAUUCAGCUCUGGGAUACCUUGGAUACCUUGACAACCUCUCUUUCUCUCUCUCCCUCCCUUCCUCAUCUGUGAAAUGAGGUACCAAGAGUGUACCUACCUUAUAGGUACUGUAAGUGAGUUUAUGGAUCUUAAGUGCUGACACACUGCCUAGCACAUAGAAGUGUUCUUGUCAGAAACUGAAAAACUAAGUAACAGACCAUGCAGACAACAAAAUGGACAUGGAUUCUAUCCCACCUGAAUUAGUGCUUUUACCAAAUUCAGUAUGUAUUUUGUUACUCUUCAUUUUUUAAUUGUUACCCUUAGGUUUUAUUAAUGAGACUUAAUUUUGUCAUGGAUGUGUAUCUCCCGCAGAUCAGGAUGUGGUCGGUUACAUGACCAGGGAAAGACCUAGUACAUGCAGACUUAGGUGGGUUUUGCGAGCUUCACGCGAGAACCUGGAAAGUGACCCUGGCAACAAAAGGUGCCAAGUCUCUGGUGUGCGGGUCACAUUUUUCCUGCAACAGUAGUUAUGUAUUAGAAUUAAGAAUGUAUGGAAGUAGACUUGGUAAUAUAUUAUUCUGGGUGAUAAAGGCUGUGCGGUGCUUAUACCUUACACAAAACUGUGUUUUUAAAACCUUCUCAUAUUUGAAAGACGCCAGGUUUUAGGACUGACCCUCCCAGAGUAUGGUUUGAUGUUUUCUAACAAUUUUUUAUUAUCAAAUUUGUUGAUUUUUGAUCAUUUUAAGUGGCCCUGAUUUUAUUAGAAAAUAAUUUUACGUUUUGACCACUUGUUUUUUUGUAUGUCAUUGUAUUCCCUGUUUUCAGGUACAGGGGAAACAAAUUCGAUAAAAUAAACAGUUUCUCUUCAAGGAAGAGCGGUUUUCUUUUUCCUAAAAUGGUAUUUUUGGAGGCUCAUGGUCCAAACAGAUUAGCUGGGCUGAGAAUGAGAUUAAGUGAUGAAUCCAUAAAAAUGUGGGGUCUGAAAUGCUUAUACUGGGUAGUUCGGCUAAGACUCAGCCAUCAGAUAUGUCUUUACUGUUUAUGUGUAAUGAUUUAAAGAGUUCCUGAACUCAUUGUGGCUCUCCAGAGUUUUGUUUUGUUUUUUUCUGGCUCCCCAGUGUCAGUCAGACAGACCAUCUUAAAACUUUGAGGUUCAUUGCCUCACUGGAUUAACCACUGGGCCUUUUGUAAAUAAUGUCCUCAAAAUUUUUAGAAAAUCAAAAGUCAUAUUUUUAUAUAAGCCAAAACAACAAAAAAGUGAAGUUCCUCUUUUGUAAUUGUGGAGAGUAAAGUAUGUUCUGUAACUUUUCACUGCCACAGUGUCAGUAUGAACCAUUUUGAAAUUCCAGUUUAGCUGCCUUUAAUGAAAUGUGAAAUAAAACCACCUAGUAACUAUUAUAAUUAAAAGUUAGGAUUUUUUUUUUCUCCUUCUGCAAUUGAUCAGUUGUGAAUCUCAAGUCACAGUUUGGAAAAUUAAGGCCAUAAAGCUUCAGAGUUGGGGAUGUCUGAGGAUGGUUCCUGUGGACUAAGAGAAGGUGACGGAGAAGGAGACUUUUUCUGAGUUUACAACGUGGAAGGCAUGUUUAUUCCUGUUUGAUUUAAUACAGUCAUGUGCUCUGUCUGCUUCUCCCUCCUUUGCCUUCAGCUUCUUGGAUUCCUAACUCUUGGAUUCAUUUCUCUGUUCAUUCUUUUAAAAAUUUCUGGAAGCUAGCUCCUUUAACUUCUAUUUAUAAUUAGGUAGUUUCCUGUCUCAGAAAAUAAAGAGAGAGUUUCUUUAUCUCGGGUAUAUCACUCAGAAUUGUUCUGGGUCACCGUUUUUUAAAUAUAAAAUAUGAUGGGGUCAGAUUACUUUUCCAGAAAUGUCAUUCUGUGAAGUAGGAUAAGAUGAGAUGGAUCCUCCCAUAGACCUUCUCUUGUUUUCGUUAUUCCGCACUAUUUAUUUGCUAGGACUUGGACAGCUCAAUCCAAUUCUUCUUUACAAAGGCAGAUUAACCCUUUAUUCUUUUCCUUCUUUGCCAGUUAAGCCAACCAGAAUUUGAGUUACAAGUUCCAUGAUAUAGUUUAAUAAAUAUUUUGCUGUUACAAAGAUUUAGCAUUUAAAUACUAAAUUCUGACUGAGAAAGACUUGUGAUAGCUUGUCUUAGCAAGGUGAUAGCAAAGUGAUUGAUUAAUCAGUAAGAUUUAUUAAGGCUUUAAAAUGCUGCUAACAUUGUGAAGAAUUGUGGGUAUCCCUGAACAUGUUUGUAUUAUAGGAAAAUAAAAAUAUCUGAAAGAAAGAACAAAUCAGGUGCUAAAUCUUGCUCUCUUGUGUAAGUACAGUCCCAGUAUAGAGGAUGAUGUGUGUAUUGUGGUAGUUAUUGGCAGUUGCUGGGAAAAGAAUCCUGGAUCCAACCUAAUCAUGGAACUGGGUAUUUUGGUUGCACUUUGCAAGAUUUGCAAAUUCCAUGUGGGCAGAAAGGGUUAAUGAUGGCGUGUAUAGGAGACCUUAUGAGCAAAGGCAUUGGACAGGAAUUAGGCUGGGGGCGUAGGGAGAGAGGAGGGUCUUGGGUAGCUUUGGGAUAUGGACACUGAGUAGACUCCAUAAGAAGUGGAAGCUGUAUUAAGGUAGGUAGUGGUAGUGGAGAGAGAACUUUAAAUCCCAGGCAGAAGAGUUUAGGUUAGAGUAGGUAAGUAUUUAGAAGUCUUUAGACUUCUCUUCUUCUAGCCUUCAGAUGUUAUUGAUUGUUGAUUUGAUGCUUAGAGCUGCUGCAUCUUACAACCCUGUGAGGGUUGUGAAUUCCAUCCCAUAUCCUUGAUUUCUCAAAUUUAAUUUCACCUGGAUACUCUGCUUGGAUCAGGUCCAGUUGGCAGUUGUGAUUUGGUUUUGUGUUUUAAUUCAUCUUUUUACCUUUGCUGUAUUCUAAUCUCAUAAUAGUUUAGAGUCUUACAGUUGGAAGGGUGCUUGGAGGUAAUCUGAUCCACCUAUCAACCAGUACAGGAAUUAUACGCUUAAUGAUUGAAAUGAUUGUUCUGUUUCUGCUGGAAUGCAUGAACCGUCUUUUAAUACAACUCUUUCCAUUGGUAGGUUUCAUUCCUUAAGUUAAAAUAUGCCUUUUCUAGCAUUAUCUGGAGCUAUACAAAGUCUAAUAUUUUUUUUUCAGGUAUUCCAGCCCUUCAGAUAUUUGAGGAAACUUAUGAUGAUGUCUUCUUCUAAACUGUCUUUUCUCAGUCUCAAUAUUUUACUUUCUCUUACUUUAUACUUCAAGAUUCUCCACCAUCACUCUUGUCCAUCUUUUGUGUAUUCUGGUCUUAAUGAAGACCCGGAAUUGAACAUAAUACCCUUCUUUAAAAAAAUCAGUUAUUGGGGCACCUGGGUGGCCCAGUUGGUUAAGUGGUUGACUUGGCUCAGGUCAUGAUCUCACAGUUUAUGGGUUCAAGCCCCACAUCGAGCUCUGGGCUGACAGCUCAGAGCCUGGAGCCUACUUCAGAUUCUCUCUCUCUCUCUCUCUCUCUCUCUCUCUCUCUCUCAAUAAUAAACAUAAAAAUAAUUAGUUAUGAUUUAGCAGGCAACAGAAAUCCCCUUCUCAUUUGGCUUAAACAAUAAGGAAUUUACAUUUUCUUCAUAAUUGAAUGUUCUUGAAAUUGAGACAUUUUGAACCUUUAUUUAAGUGAAUAGAAUGUUGGUUUAGUGACAGCCUCCCCCCCUUGAUGAUUCAUAAAAUAAUGAUGCAUCCAAACCAUUGAAAUGUCUUAACUGAGGAAACGUGAUGUUAUCUCAGGUAUCAGGAGAUCUGAUGGCUAGAGUGGAUCCAUUAUUGGAUAUUUUUUUACCUUGAUUAUAUCAGCAAACUAGUGUGGCAGAGAAGUUUUUGGCUUGCCUUCUUAUGACUGCGAGAUGGCUGCAACAGCCCUAGGCAUCAAAUCUCUGUAAUCAAAAACAUCUAAAGGCCAGAAGAGGGAAAGUCCCUUCUUUGUGUUCUUUUUUUAAUAAGCAGAAUUUCCGAAGUGACCCUCCUUGGUCAGAAUCAUCAUAUGCCUGUUCCUAAACCAGUUACUGACAAGAGAUAGGGAUUACCAUUAAUGGCUCAGUGGUUCUCAGGCUUGUGUGCACCAGAAUGACCUGGAGAACUUGUUAAAACACAGAUUUCUGGGCCCCACUCCCAGAGUUUCUGAUUUAGUAAGUUUAGACUGGAGACUGAGAUUUUGUAUUUCUCCCAAGUUCCUUCUACAUGAUGCUGAUGCUGUUGAUCCAGGGAAUGGAAAUGUCUGUCUCCAAAUGUGUGCCCGACUGAUACCCAAACAAAAUCAGGAUUUCGUUAACAAGUACGGUGGGCCAGUGGAGAGAGAUAGGCAGUGUCCAUUUCUGCUGUAGUCUAGAUCAGUAUUUCUCCCAGAUGUUGUAACACACUGAGAAGUGUGAUUGUUAUUGUGGGUUGUACAGAAUAUAUUACUAGUAGUAAACUAAGCUUUGAGAACGAAUAUAGAGUAGAUCAAGUAGAUUCAAGAUAAUGUUUGUUAUUUUCUGACAUGCUUUCUUGAAGGGGAGAGAAAAGGGUGGCUAUUCAGUGAGGGCACAGGGAAUGUACACCUUUGGAAGUAUAGAGUGUGUAUUAAUGAUAGCUGAAAUGUAUUGACUCAGUUAAACAUCAAACUGCAUCUGUGAAAUAGGUAAUAUCCAUACCUUCCAAAGGAGGAAACUGAGGCCCAGAGAGCUUUAAGUAAUGUGCCCAGUGUAAUACAAUUAGCAGAUGGUAGAGUUGGGUUUCAGAGCCAUGAGGUUUGGCCUCACAACCUGUACUUUUAACCAUAUGUUUGACUGUCAGGUAGGUCCUCUGUUGCAGGAAUGUUAAAGCUAAGAUGUUCAUUGUAUGUUUUUGACUCUGCCAGUAUGGUGGGAUUGGUGUUCUGGUAAUUAUA